rnacentral:misc_RNA from 1 species
AAGUCGUAACAAGGUCUCCGUAGGUGAACCUGCGGAGGGAUCAUUACUGAGUGAGGGCCUUCUGGUCCGACCUCCAACCCCAUGUUAUCCGACACUGUUGCCUCCGGGGCGACCCGGCCUUCGGGCGUCGGGGCCCCGGGUGGACCAUUCAAACACUGCAUCUUUGCGUCUGAGUACACGAUUGAAUCAAUCAAAA